rnacentral:rRNA from 1 species
GACGAACGCUGGCGGCGUGCUUAACACAUGCAAGUCGAACGGAAAGGCCCUGCUUUUGUGGGGUGCUCGAGUGGCGAACGAGUGAGUAACACGUGAGUAACCUGCCCUUGACUUUGGGAUAACUUCAGGAAACUGGGGCUAAUACCGGAUAGGAGCUCCUGCUGCAUGGUGGGGGUUGGAAAGUUUCGGCGGUUGGGGAUGGACUCGCGGCUUAUCAGCUUGUUGGUGGGGUAGUGGCUUACCAAGGCUUUGACGGGUAGCCGGCCUGAGAGGGUGACCGGCCACAUUGGGACUGAGAUACGGCCCAGACUCCUACGGGAGGCAGCAGUGGGGAAUAUUGCACAAUGGGCGGAAGCCUGAUGCAGCAACGCCGCGUGCGGGAUGACGGCCUUCGGGUUGUAAACCGCUUUCGCCUGUGACGAAGCGUGAGUGACGGUAAUGGGUAAAGAAGCACCGGCUAACUACGUGCCAGCAGCCGCGGUGAUACGUAGGGUGCGAGCGUUGUCCGGAUUUAUUGGGCGUAAAGGGCUCGUAGGUGGUUGAUCGCGUCGGAAGUGUAAUCUUGGGGCUUAACCCUGAGCGUGCUUUCGAUACGGGUUGACUUGAGGAAGGUAGGGGAGAAUGGAAUUCCUGGUGGAGCGGUGGAAUGCGCAGAUAUCAGGAGGAACACCAGUGGCGAAGGCGGUUCUCUGGGCCUUUCCUGACGCUGAGGAGCGAAAGCGUGGGGAGCGAACAGGCUUAGAUACCCUGGUAGUCCACGCUGUAAACGGUGGGUACUAGGUGUGGGGUCCAUUCCACGGGUUCCGUGCCGUAGCUAACGCUUUAAGUACCCCGCCUGGGGAGUACGGCCGCAAGGCUAAAACUCAAAGGAAUUGACGGGGCCCCGCACAAGCGGCGGAGCAUGCGGAUUAAUUCGAUGCAACGCGUAGAACCUUACCUGGGUUUGACAUGGAUCGGGAGUGCUCAGAGAUGGGUGUGCCUCUUUUGGGGUCGGUUCACAGGUGGUGCAUGGCUGUCGUCAGCUCGUGUCGUGAGAUGUUGGGUUAAGUCCCGCAACGAGCGCAACCCUUGUACACUGUUGCCAGCACGUUAUGGUGGGGACUCAGUGGAGACCGCCGGGGUCAACUCGGAGGAAGGUGGGGAUGACGUCAAGUCAUCAUGCCCCUUAUGUCCAGGGCUUCACGCAUGCUACAAUGGCUGGUACAGAGAGUGGCGAGCCUGUGAGGGUGAGCGAAUCUCGGAAAGCCGGUCUCAGUUCGGAUUGGGGUCUGCAACUCGACCUCAUGAAGUCGGAGUCGCUAGUAAUCGCAGAUCAGCAACGCUGCGGUGAAUACGUUCCCGGG